rnacentral:rRNA from 1 species
AGCGAUGAACCUCGGGUGAUUAGCGGCGGACGGGUGAUACCGUGGGUACUGCUCAAGAGGGGAAUAGCCUCCCGAAAGGGAGAUUAUACCGAUAAUAUCUGAUGACGCAUGGUCAUUUGAUUAAAGGAGUAAUCCGCACUGAGAUGGACCCGCGGGCAUUACUAUUGGUGAGGUAACGGUCACCAAGGCCACGAUGCGUACCGACUGAGAGGGUGAUCGGCACAUUGGAACUGAAUACGGUCCAGACUCCUACGGGAGGCAGCAGUGGGGAAUAUUGCACAAUGGGCGAAAGCCUGAUGCAGCAACGCCGCGUGAGUGAUGAAGGCCUUCGGGUUGUAAAGCUCUGUCUUUGGGGACGAUAAUGACGGUACCCAAGGAGGAAGCCAC